CCCUGCCCCGCCCCGGCCCGCACCAGCCGCCCCACUCCGCCGGCCGGGCCUCGGCCGCACUCACAGCAUGAUCCGGGAGACGUGCAGCCGCACCGGGACGCUCCGGUCUUUGAAGGCGGUGGUGAUGAAGCAGCCGAAGAUGCUGUGUACAUAAGCCAAAAGAGGUCAAGAACACCUGGCGUAGAACCGGAUAGCUGGCUCUUGUCUUCCAUGGAUGAGCCCUUGCUGCUUUGCAUUAUGAUCAUUCAGUUAAUUUCCUACAGCCAUGCAGUGAGUGCCUAUGUGCCAGCUGAAGCUUUGAGAGUACAGCACUAAUAAGGGACCGUCCCUGCCAAAUUAGAGUAGAGCCCAGUAGUGAAAAAUGGACAGAUCUUUAGAUGAGUUUAAAACUUAAAUGCUAUCUUCCAGGCAGCCACAGUUUAUUCAAUAAAGCAACUGUUUAUUGGAUGCCUGCUGCGUUGCAAAUGAUACAAAGAUGUAUACUAACCACUUUCUACCCUCAUGAAGUUUGUAAUCUUGUGGAGUCAAUAAAAUAAAAACCAACCUGAAACGCAAACAAGUACCAAGGACGCUACCAAGUGCUUCAGACUUAAGAGGAAGAAUUCACGUCUGUGGUGAUGUCGGACAGAGCAGCAUCUGUUAGAUAUGUAAUGCGGUGCCUAAACAACAUGGCUGAGUUAUUCCCAUGAGAUGCUAGUCCUCUGUUUUGACAUUUACUAAUUAACAAUAAUUGUUCAUUCUAAUUACCUAUAUUUAUGCCUUCUCUUUUUUUUCUCUGAUUAGUAUUUUUCUUUGUUGAUUUUUUUCAAAAAAAACUGUCUUUUCCAUUUCUUAAUUUUACUGUUGUUUGUCUUAUUAUUAAUUUUUAAUGUUAUCAAAGUUUUUCAUUUCAUUUUUCCUUGGUUUACUAGUUUUAGGAAUUAGAUAUUUAAUUAACAUCUAAUUAGAUUUUAAAUUUUGCUUUUCUUCUUUGAGAGCUCAUUUAAUUGUGUGUGUGCAUGUUUACGUGUGUGUGUUCAAUUUCCAGAAGAGAGGACCUAUUUCAUUUUGAUUGUUUUAAAUUAAUGUAUGGUUUUAUUUCAUGCAGGCAGAGAAUGCUGGUUGUGUUAUUUUUAUUCUUUGGAUUAUUGAGGUCUUUGUGGCCUAAACUAUCACUUCUGUGAAUAUUCAGUGUGCACUUGUAAAGGUGGUAUAUUUUCUGUUAAUGGUACACAGAGUUUGAUCUAUACUAUGAGAUCUACCUUAUAUCUUUAUUAAUUUUUCGCUAUCUUGAUUUUGCUGGAUUGAGAGCAAUGUAUUAAAGUCUCCAUGUUCAUGUUUU